rnacentral:lncRNA from 1 species
CAAGGAAGCAAUUCCCAAGACAAGAAUUGUUUGAGAAAACUGCAACUGGAUUUGCCUAUACAUGCAGCAGUAAACUUCAGUGAGCACCUGACCCUAUUUUCAGGAGCAGCAGAAAGGCACAUUUACCCCACACAGGAUGCAUAGUCAUCUUUGGUAGUUGGGAACUACUGUAAAGUUUUCAAGACUUAAUUGGAAUUGAAGUGGUUCCAGCCGCUCUGCUCACUAGCAGCCUAAGAACCUGUGCCUGUCCCUGGAGGAGGAAAGCAGUAGGAGACCUGGAAUAUUCUGACACAGGAUGCCAUAUUUCACAUCCUGACACUAUCCCCGAAACCACCUUGGACAAGCUACACCAUCAAUAUAGGCCUGGAUUCCUCCUCCCGCAAAUAUACAAGAAUGCCUGCCUCAAGGUUGAAGUGAACUGAGAUUGCACCUGGGCAACAAGAGUGAAACUCCAUCUCAAAAAAAAAAGAAUGCCUGCCUCACAGGGUUGCUCAGGGUCAUAUGCUUGAACAUAUACAAA